rnacentral:lncRNA from 1 species
GUAACUAUCUAAAUUGGUGACAUUUGGCAACAGUGAGUAGAUCUGGUUUAUUUAUGUAUGUUUAUUCCAAACAUAACCUUAUAAACAAACAGUUGUUUAUUUAGAGUUAUUUAUUAUUGUUUUCUCAUAUUUUGCAAUUGUUAAGUUGGUUUACUUCGAAUUUAAUAUGCAUUACUGUGGUAUUUCUCCAGUUUUCUAAGAAGGUUGGUGAUUUUGAAUUGGGAUUAUGAUGAAUUUAACCCAAAGGCAAUGUGUGUUUAUUUAUGUGGCAAAAUUCCAGGCACCAUAAAAAUUUGAGUUUCUUCCUGUUGCCCAUGGAUGAAAAUCGGUUUGCAGAAUGAAAAGAAAUUGUUCAAUGUGAUAAACUUUCUAUGAACAGUCCUCAAUAUUGUUACAUUAACUUUUAAAUAUGCACUUUACAUCUUGAGGAGCAGGCCUUUGCAGAAAUACUGAAAAGCGGGUUGCAAAACAACGCAAAAUAAAAUAAACGAAAUAUGUCUUGAGAUUAAACAUUCAAGUUGAAGGUGUGUUCUUCCUUAAACUGGAAUGAUAAUUUUGUAAUUCUGUAGGCACAUCUAUUGAGAAGUUACAACCAGUGGCAAAGUGCCUUAAGGGAAUCUAUGACAUAUAUAAUUGAAGGGACAUCUCCUCUGAAGGAAUUACAAUUAUUUGCCAGUAUGUCAAAUGAAUUUUCAACAUCAGUCAUACUUUCAUGAAUUUAUUGAUGAAAAUAAAACUAGGUACAUGAUUUA